CAUCUCCCACCUGCUUGUUUACUCCCCAGAUAGCCACACCGACUCGACUAAGGCCAGAUCUGGCCAAGACAGAAGCCAAGAACUUCUUUCUGGUCUCUCACGUGGGUGUAGGGGCCCAAGCACUUGGGCCAUCCUCCACUUUCUUCCCAGGUACAUAAACAGGAAGCUGGAUUGGAAGUGGAGUAGCUGGGUGUUGAACCAUUACCCGGAAGGGAUGCCGGCACGGGAGACGGGAGCUUAAUCCACUGCACCACAGCACCAGCCUCUCAAAUCUUUUUUAAAAGUUUCUUUUGGCCGGCGCCGCGGCUCACUAGGCUAAUCCUCCGCCUAGCGGCGCCGGCACACCGGGUUCUAGUCCCGGUCGGGGCGCCGGAUUCUGUCCCGGUUGCCCCUCUUCCAGGCCAGCCCUCUGCUGUGGCCAGGGAGUGCAGUGGAGGAUGGCCCAGGUGCUUGGGCCCUGCACCCCAUGGGAGACCAGGAAAAGCACCUGGCUCCUGGCUCCUGCCAUCGGAUCAGCGCGGUGCGCCGGCCGCAGCACGCCGGCCGCGGCGGCCAUUGGAGGGUGAACCAACGGCAAAGGAAGACCUUUCUCUCUGUCUCUCUCUCUCACUGUCCACUCUGCCUGUCAAAAAAUAAAAAACAAAACAAAACAAAACGAAAAUUUAAAAAAAAAAAAAAAAGUUUCUUUUGAGGGGCCGGCGC